rnacentral:rRNA from 1 species
GACGAACGCUGGCGGCGUGCUUAACACAUGCAAGUCGAACGGUGAAGCCCAUCGGGGUGGAUCAGUGGCGAACGGGUGAGUAACACGUGAGCAACCUGCCCCUGACUCUGGGAUAACUACCGGAAACGGUGGCUAAUACCGGAUAUUACUUGCCUGGGCAUCUGGGUGGGUGGAAAGUUUUUCGGUUGGGGAUGGGCUCGCGGCCUAUCAGCUUGUUGGUGGGGUGAUGGCCUACCAAGGCGACGACGGGUAGCCGGCCUGAGAGGGCGACCGGGCACACUGGGACUGAGACACGGCCCAGAUUCCUACGGGAGGCAGCAGUGGGGAAUAUUGCGCAAUGGGCGAAAGCCUGACGCAGCGACGCCGCGUGGGGGAUGAAGGCCUUCGGGUUGUAAACCUCUUUCAGCAGGGAAGAAGCGUGAGUGACGGUACCUGCAGAAGAAGCACCGGCUAACUACGUGCCAGCAGCCGCCGUAA